rnacentral:rRNA from 1 species
CCCUUAGAUGUCCUGGGCCGCACGCGCGCUGCACUGAUGCAUUCAACGAGCCUAUCCUUGACCGACAGGUCCGGGUAAUCUUUGAAUCUGCAUCGUGACGGGGAUAGAUUAUUGCAAUUAUUAAUCUUCAACGAGGAAUGCCUAGUAGGCGCAAGUCAUCAGCUUGCGUCGAUUACGUCCCUGCCCUUUGUACACACCGCCCGUCGCUCCUACCGAUUGGGUGUGCUGGUGAAAUGUUCGGAUCGGCCGUUUGUCGCGGUUUCCGCGUCAUGUGGCUGAGAAGUUCAUUAAACCCUCCCACCUAGAGGAAGGAGAAGUCGUAACA